UUUUCUCUUAGUAAGACGUUGUGAUCCAUUAGGAAUCGAUUGACCAUCUAAAAUUGGACAAUCAAUGGGCUACCAAUAGGCCGGUAUUGAAGUUCAUUUUGGCAAAUAGUAGAAUCUUUUGGUUUUGCAUAUUGCCUUAUGAGCAUAUCGUGUUCUGAUGUAGCCGCCUGAUGGAUUUUAAAGGCCAUGCCAUUGAUGCUUGCAUCACCCAACUUUAUUGUUGGGCAUACGGCAUGUGCCCGAUCAACAACGGUUUCAUUUGGGAUACCUUUGGGACCCGUCUUGAAACACGGACCAAGGAGUCUAUCUAGUAUGCGAGUAAAUGGGAUUGAUUAAAACCUAUUUGCGUAAAUAACUUAACUAUUUAAUGGGAUUACSUGUACMUUAUACUUUUAUUARUGUGUGCACCUCCMUCCCGGGGUAUUUUCACAACAUAUGUGGGGUGCAAACUCUGCAUAUAGAAAAUAUACCAUGARCAUACUGGACAUGACCCGAAAGAUGGUGAACUAUGCCUGAUCAGGUUGAAGUCAGGGGAAACCCUGAUGGARGACCGAAGCAAUUCUGACGUGCAAAUCG
rnacentral:rRNA from 1 species